UACAGCGGGUGCAAGCGUUGUUCGGAAUUAUUGGGCGUAAAGGGUGUGUAGGCGGUUUGCUAAGUCUUCUGUGAAAUCUACGGGCUCAGCCUGUAACGUGCAGAGGAAACUGACAGACUUGAGUGUCGGAGAGGAUAGUGGAAUUCCCGGUGUAGAGGUGAAAUUCGUAGAGAUCGGGAGGAACACCAGUGGCGAAGGCGACUAUCUGGCUGACAACUGACGCUGAGACUCGAAAGCAUGGGGAGCAAACAGG
rnacentral:rRNA from 1 species